GGGCCUGCCCUGUCUCGCCGCCAUCCCUGAGGGCAGAACCGCCUCAGCCGUCGGGUGCGACCCCUCGGCUCCUUCCCGGCCUAACAGGGGUCUCUGGGCGGGAGGCAGGGCUCUGGAGAGGUCACAGAAUCCCAGAGGAGUUGGGGGUGGAAGGGACCUCUGGAGAUCGUCCAGUGCCACCCCCUGCCCAGCAGGGUCACCUGGAGCAGGUGACACAGGAGCAGCUCCAGGGAGGCUGAGUUCCUGGCUACCUGCUCUGCAGGUGGAUGUCCACGGGGAUGAAGGUGACCGAGGGCUGCUGGGCCAGGCUGUGGCUGUGGUGCCCCACAGGAGGUGGCACUGCCAGCUUGGAGGCUUUGGGCUCCAGCUCCCGCCGCACGCGCAUGCGCCUGCCGAAGGGAGAAGGGAAUUGCACCUGGGCUGCUCUCUCCUCUCCCAGCAGGCUGCACCAAUCUGGGGUGCAGUUUGAAAACUGCAUCAGGUUGGGGUUUUUCUGUUUUGUGGAGCAAGUCAAGAGGUGCAAGGCCUGUGUCUGCAGCAGGGUGGAGGGUGCCAGUCCUGCUCUUACCUGGAGUCCCAGCUCCAUUCCUGCCCUGUGAAUCAGCACGUUUCACCUGACCAAGCCUCUGCUGCAAGACAGACCCAGCAAAGCCCAGAAAAAAAUCCAUGGGAACCUGAAUUUUCAGCCUGGAUCCUACUCUGUUCAGAAAACCGUUUGGAAAAUCAGGAGUGCUGGAUAAAAGCCAUGCAGCAGGGGAGAAGAAGUGGACUUUGAUACAGUAAUCACAGACAUUCUUUGUCCAUGACACAGGGCUGCACUUCCCCCUGUGCACACACACCUGCCUGGGCUCUCAGAGCCUCUCAUUCACCCUCACUCUCCACACUGCUGGUUAUUUUUGCAUGCCCACGUUAUGAAGCUGGAAAUGUUUCCACAAAGUUCA